GGUUGUAUAGUGUAGCGGUUAUCACUCCGGAUUCUGAUGUGCUCAGAACAUUCCGGCAACCCCGGUUCGAUUCCGGGUACGACCU